GUGGGGAAUUUUCCGCAAUGGGCGAAAGCCUGACGGAGCAAUACCGCGUGAGGGAGGAAGGCUCUUGGGUCGUAAACCUCUUUUCUCAGGGAAGAACACAAUGACGGUACCUGAGGAAUAAAUGAUUGGGCGUAAAGCGUCCGCAGGUGGCUAUGUAAGUCUGCUGUUAAAGAGUCUAGCAGCAUCGGCUAACUCCGUGCCAGCAGCCGCGGUAAUACGGAGGAUGCAAGCGUUAUCCGGCCUGGUGUAGCGGUGAAAUGCGUAGAGAUCAGGAAGAACACCGGUGGCGAAGGCGCUCUGCUAGGCCGCAACUGACACUGAGGGACGAAAGCUAGGGGAGCGAAUGGGAUUAGAUACCCUCAACUAGAUAAGAGCAGUGGAAACUACAUGGCUAGAGUGCGUUCGGGGCAGAGGGAAUUCAGUAGU
rnacentral:rRNA from 1 species